ACUAUGGCUCAGGAUGAACGCUAGCUACAGGCUUAACACAUGCAAGUCGAGGGGUAGCAGGGUAGCAAUACCGCUGACGACCGGCGCACGGGUGAGUAACACGUAUCCAACCUUCCCAUAACUCAGGGAUAGCCUUUCGAAAGAAAGAUUAAUACCUGAUAGUACUUUUUCAAGGCAUCUUGAGAAAGUUAAAGAUUUAUUGGUUAUGGAUGGGGAUGCGUUCCAUUAGAUAGUUGGUGAGGUAACGGCUCACCAAGUCUUCGAUGGAUAGGGGUUCUGAGAGGAAGGUCCCCCACAUUGGUACUGAGACACGGACCAAACUCCUACGGGAGGCAGCAGUGAGGAAUAUUGGUCAAUGGGCGAGAGCCUGAACCAGCCAAGUAGCGUGAAGGAUGAAGGUCCUAUGGAUUGUAAACUUCUUUUAUAGUAGAAUAAAGUGAUCCACGUGUGGAUUUUUGUAUGUAUACUAUGAAUAAGGAUCGGCUAACUCCGUGCCAGCCGCAGC
rnacentral:rRNA from 1 species